rnacentral:rRNA from 1 species
CUCCGGCUAACUCCGUGCCAGCAGCCGCGGUAAUACGGAGGGAGCAAACGUUGUUCGGAUUUACUGGGUGUAAAGGGUGCGUAGGCGGCUAUGUGUGUCAGAGGUGAAAUCCCACGGCUCAACCGUGGAAUUGCCUUUGAAACUGCAUGGCUUGAGUCCGAGAGAGGAAGACGGAAUUCCUGGUGUAACGGUGAAAUGUGCAGAUAUCAGGAAGAACACCGGUGGCGAAGGCGGUCUUCUGGCUCGGUACUGACGCUGAGGCACGAAAGCUAGGGUAUCAAACGGGAUUAGAUACCCCGGUAGUCCUANCCGUAAACGAUGUCAACUAGGUGUCGGGGGUCCUACCCCCUCGGUGCCGCAGCUAACGCAUUAAGUUGACCACCUGGGGAGUACGCUC